GAUGAACGCUGGCGGCGUGCCUAAUACAUGCAAGUCGAGCGAACGGACGAGAAUUUUGCUUCUCUGAUGUUAGCGGCGGACGGGUGAGUAACACGUGGAUAACCUACCUAUAAGACUUGGAUAACUUCGGGAAACCGGAGCUAAUACCGGAUGAUAUUUUGAACCGCAUGGUUCAAAAGUGAAAGACGGUCUUGCUGUCACUUAUAGAUGGAUCCGCGCUGCAUUAGCUAGUUGGGAAGGUAACGGCUUAACAAGGCAACGAUGCAUAGCCGACCUGAGAGGGUGAUCGGCCACACUGGAACUGAGACACGGUCCAGACUCCUACGGGAGGCAGCAGUAGGGAAUCUUCCGCAAUGGGCGAAAGCCUGACGGAGCAACGCCGCGUGAGUGAUGAAGGUCUUCGGAUCGUAAAACUCUGUUAGUAGGGAAGAACAUAUGUGUAAGUAACUGUGCACAUCGUGACGGUACCUAAUCAGAAAGCCACGGCUAACUACGUG
rnacentral:rRNA from 1 species